UUUGAUCCUGGCUCAGAACGAACGCUGGCGGCAUGCCUAAUACAUGCAAGUCGAACGAUCUCUUCGGAGAUAGUGGCGCACGGGUGCGUAACGCGUGGGAAUCUGCCCUUGGGUUCGGAAUAACGUCGGGAAACUGACGCUAAUACCGGAUGAUGACGUAAGUCCAAAGAUUUAUCGCCCAGGGAUGAGCCCGCGUAGGAUUAGCUAGUUGGUUGGGUAAAGGCUGACCAAGGCGACGAUCCUUAGCUGGUCUGAGAGGAUGAUCAGCCACACUGGGACUGAGACACGGCCCAGACUCCUACGGGAGGCAGCAGUAGGGAAUAUUGGACAAUGGGGGCAACCCUGAUCCAGCAAUGCCGCGUGAGUGAUGAAGGCCUUAGGGUUGUAAAGCUCUUUUACCCGGGAUGAUAAUGACAGUACCGGGAGAAUAAGCCCCGGCUAACUCCGUGCCAGCAGCCGCGGUAAUACGGAGGGGGCUAGCGUUGUUCGGAAUUACUGGGCGUAAAGCGCACGUAGGCGGCGAUUUAAGUCAGAGGUGAAAGCCCGGGGCUCAACCCCGGAAUAGCCUUUGAGACUGGAUUGCUUGA
rnacentral:rRNA from 1 species